UCAGUUCUCAUCUCUCUUUCUGUCUGUUGUUGUUGUUAUUGUUGUUGCUGCUGCUGCUGCUGCUGCUGCUGUUGUUGUUGUUGUUGUUGUUUUAACCUCUCACUCUCUUCCACUCUUUCCAGUAAUUCUGAAGACAACUGGAAAACUCCAUGGGCUGCGAUUUGAUUACUGUGGUGUGCUCUACUACACUAGAGAUAAUGGGUUAGUGAUACCUGAAGCCCAAACUCCUAAAAGCCAUUGGAAGAGCACACAAAACAUAGGAGCAGUGCUAGAAAGGAUUUCCUCUUACACAGCAGCAGAUCCUGGAGGGUAUGUGGACUUCCACAAUGGUGCGUCUUUAAGACUGUUCAGGUCAUCAUAUCCAAUGAGUUCUGAGAAACGUUUCACAAGACCUCAGGAAACAGCAGCAUUUAUGAAGACCAGACCAUCAUCAAAGAGUAUUGCGGCCUUACCUUAACUUGUGCCAGCCUUCACCUACAUAUAGACAUCAACCUACAAAAAGGACCCAUCUUGAGACCUGGAAGAGUAGUGACAACGUUUGGUCCCUUUAGAGAGGCGCAUGUGUCCAGGAUCGCCAGCAGAGGGGACACUAACCACAGUGAUCUGGGACCUGUCACAUCAAAUCAUCAACUAAGAAAAAGGU